AGAGUUUGAUCCUGGCUCAGAACGAACGCUGACGGCGUGCCUAACACAUGCAAGUCGAACGAGAAAGUCCCGGCUUGCCGGGAUUAGUAAAGUGGCGCACGGGUGAGUAACGCGUGGGUAAUCUGCCUUUAAGUUUGGGAUAACACUGCGAAAGCGGUGCUAAUACCGGAUAUGCUUACGGUUUGAAAUGUCCGUGAGAAAAGAUGGCCUCUGACAUAAGCUAUCGCUUGAAGAUGAGCCCGCGUACCAUUAGCUUGUUGGUAGGGUAAUGGCCUACCAAGGCUACGAUGGUUAGCUGGCCUGAGAGGGCGGCCAGCCACACUGGAACUGAGACACGGUCCAGACUCCUACGGGAGGCAGCAGUGGGGAAUAUUGCGCAAUGGGGGAAACCCUGACGCAGCGACGCCGUGUGAGUGAUGAAGGCUUUCGGGUCGUAAAGCUCUGUCGGAUGGGACGAAUAAGGGCUGUGUAAAUAAUGCAGUCCGAUGACGGUACCGUCGAAGGAAGCACCGGCUAACUCCGUGCCAGCAGCCGCGGUAAUACGGAGGGUGCAAGCGUUGUUCGGAAUUAUUGGGCGUAAAGAACGCGUAGGCGGGUCUGUAUGUCAGAUGUGAAAGCCCUCGGCUCAACUGAGGAAGUGCAUCUGAAACUGCAGGUCUUGAGUACGAGAGAGGAGAGUGGAAUUCCCAGUGUAGAGGUGAAAUUCAUAGAUAUUGGGAAGAACACCGGCGGCGAAAGCGGCUCUCUGGCUCGAUACUGACGCUGAGGCGUGAAAGCGUGGGGAGCAAACAGGAUUAGAU
rnacentral:rRNA from 1 species